AUAUGACUGAGUUGUCAAUCUAAAAUGACAUAUAAGGACUUCUAGGGGAGUGUGUCAACAUUGCUGAAUGUGACUGGUUUACCUGGAAAUGAAUAGUUUAAAUUUCUGCAUCAGUCAGAAUGGAGUCUCAAUAUUAAAAAGCAAAUCUAGUGAUCAGCAAUAUUUUAAAAAUAAACAUUUUGCAUAUAUUAGUUCAUUGUGAGGCUUUCAAGAAUUCAUAGCCAUCAUAUAUAUGAGUGUUUGGUCUUUAUAAGCACCAGUUAGAGAAAUAAAAUCUCUGCAUCCCAUUCCCCAACCCUCUUUCUCCAGUGUGGCAAUUUUUCUGGGGAAUUUGUCAAUUUCCUGCAGAGAGAUGAGUUGAAUCUCACUCUAUUUGGUCUGCAUUAUGAAAACAAUAGUGUUAUUUUUCACUUUCCAAACUCCAAAUGACAUUUCAUUAAAUAUACUUUUCAGCCUUCAUAUUGACUUUGCACGCCUUCUAUGUUGACAUACUCCCCUAGACUCUCCAUGCUGAGAAUCACUGACUUAAAGACUACCUUGUUUCUUGAUUCUUCCCUACAUAGCAGAUUGAUGAUGAUGAAGGUGAAGAUGAUGAGGACCACGAUGACAAGAGAGAUGCCUCCGAUGAGGCCUAAGAAGCCCUGAGACCCUCUCUCCUGACUCCCAGCACCUCCGUGUUUCCUGAGAAAGAUGCUGACCAAGGAGUUGUGUGGAAGACAAACUUUCCCAAUCUGAGGGUGAUGGCUUCCCUCUCGGAGGAGACACAAUGGUGGUUUUGUUCAUGUAUAACAAAGAGGAGACUCAGGUGUGAUGACAGUAAUCCAACAUAACUGGCUCACCAGAGUGAUAGGAGGGGGGUUGGGGAAAUGAUUCAGAGUGCACCUCUCCCCCUCAAGAAAUCUAAGAUCUCCCAGCCAUGCAUAGUGCCUGGGAAUGCUUAGAGAUGGGGUCCCCAUGGUCCCUUUGGCAGACGCAGGGCCUCUCGUCCUCCAAAGGGAGGAGCAGAAGUAGCUGAGCCCUGAGCCCUGAGCCCUGGACUGACUGAUUAUUACUUUAACUGAUUUGUCAGCCUGGCCUCUUGCUAGGACCCUCUCAUUCCAGUUUUGACGAGGUUCCCAGGUCUAUAACCCCAUCCAAGGUGGAGAAGCAAAACUGAUAUUUGACAGGAAAGACUAGUAGCAUAAUUACAACAGAAUUUUAUUUUUGCCUCUUCCUGUUCCUUUAAAUCUUGCCUAAUGGUGGAAGCUUGUCCCUUAAUCUAGAUGAAAAUUCAGUGUAUCUUUAUGCUUUAUGGUUUAGUAUUAUAUAAUAAACAGAAUUACAGUAACUCUAGGUCUCAAAGCCUCUCUUAGCUUGGGAACUAAAUCGCACAGUCCAAUAUAUUAAAGAGUUUAUAGCCACAAAUUUGUUCUUAUACACAAAGUUGAGGUGGGUUGUGUAGUAAUAAAUGAUGCAUAUAACCUGAACAAAGGGCCAAAGCAGAUGUAAUUCACUUCCCCUAUCUGACCA
rnacentral:lncRNA from 1 species